rnacentral:rRNA from 1 species
UACGUAGGGUGCAAGCGUUGUCCGGAAUUAUUGGGCGUAAAGAGCUCGUAGGCGGUCUGUCGCGUCUGCUGUGAAAACUCAGGGCUUAACCCUGAGCUUGCAGUGGGUACGGGCAGACUAGAGUGCGGUAGGGGAGACUGGAAUUCCUGGUGUAGCGGUGAAAUGCGCAGAUAUCAGGAGGAACACCGAUGGCGAAGGCAGUGUUCUGGGCCAGUACUGACGCUGAGGAGCGAAAGCGUGGGGAGCAAACAGG